rnacentral:misc_RNA from 1 species
GGAAAUCUUGCUGGUGUCUUACCGUAAGUAUCUCUGGAGUAUGCAAUUUCCACAGUUUGCAAGUCAUUCACAAUGUAUUUUAAAUUGAAUUGUAAAUUUAAAUGCUUUAUAGUAGCUCUUUUCUGUAUUAUUAUGCGCAUUGAAUAAUUAGUCACAUAACCCAAUAUUGUAAUUUAUCAAUUUCCAUGAAGACAAUUCAAUUCAUUUAACUUAGCCAUAAUGUUAUAGCUUCUAAAGAGCACUGCUUGCAGGUCUCUCUCUCUC